rnacentral:misc_RNA from 1 species
GAAAUGCGAUAAUUAAUGUGAAUUGCAGAAUUCAGUGAAUCAUCGAGUCUUUGAACGCACAUUGCGCCCCCUGGUAUUCCGGGGGCAUGCCUGUCCGAGCGUCAUUUCUGCCCUCAAGCACGGCUUGUGUGUUGGGCUUCCGUCCCUGGCAACGGGGACGGGCCCAAAAGGCAGUGGCGGCACCAUGUCUGGUCCUCGAGCGUAUGGGGCUUUGUCACCCGCUCCCGUAGGUCCAGCUGGCAGCUAGCCUCGCAACCAAUCUUUUUAACCAGGUUGACCUCGGAUCAGGUAGGGAUACCCGCUGAACUUAAGC